rfam:Salmo salar isolate Sally breed double haploid chromosome ssa25, whole genome shotgun sequence.
CAUUAACCAAUUUGUAAGUCGCUCUGGAUAAGAGCGUCUGCUAAAUGACUUAAA